rnacentral:tRNA from 1 species
CGCGGGUCUCCAAAACCCGAUGUCGUAGGUUCAAAUCCUACAGAGCGUG